rnacentral:lncRNA from 1 species
CCUUAAUUGGUGUCGAGAUGAGGUUCUUCCCCUAUUUCUGAUGUGAUCGAUUUCAGCUCAGGUUAGGAUGAGGUUCUCCUUCUGUUCCUAACGGGGCUGUGGGGGCACAUAUGGGCAUUGUAUGGCCUCUCCCCCCCAUCCGGUCUACAAACAACCAGACCUUCGACCUUGGUCAUGUUAGGGCGAGGUUCUCCUCCUGUCCCUAACAUGGCUGUGGGGGCGCAUAUGGGUGCUGCAUGGCCUCUCCCCCCAUCCGGUCUAUAAAUAACCGGGCCUUCGACCUUGCUCAUGUU